GAUGAACGCUGGCGGCGUGCCUAAUACAUGCAAGUCGAGCGAACAGACGAGGAGCUUGCUCCUCUGACGUUAGCGGCGGACGGGUGAGUAACACGUGGAUAACCUACCUAUAAGACUGGGAUAACUUCGGGAAACCGGAGCUAAUACCGGAUAAUAUAUUGAACCGCAUGGUUCAAUAGUGAAAGACGGUUUUGCUGUCACUUAUAGAUGGAUCCGCGCCGCAUUAGCUAGUUGGUAAGGUAACGGCUUACCAAGGCGACGAUGCGUAGCCGACCUGAGAGGGUGAUCGGCCACACUGGAACUGAAACACGGUCCAGACUCCUACGGGAGGCAGCAGUAGGGAAUCUUCCGCAAUGGGCGAAAGCCUGACGGAGCAACGCCGCGUGAGUGAUGAAGGUCUUCGGAUCGUAAAACUCUGUUAUUAGGGAAGAACAAAUGUGUAAGUAACUAUGCACGUCUUGACGGUACCUAAUCAGAAAGCCACGGCUAACUACGUG
rnacentral:rRNA from 1 species